rnacentral:rRNA from 1 species
AGAGUUUGAUCAUGGCUCAGAACGAACGCUGCGGCGUGGAUAAGACAUGCAAGUCGAACGGAUUAUUCAGGGUAGCAAUACUCUGGGUAGUUAGUGGCGCAAGGGUGCGUAACACGUGGGCAACCUGCCCUGAAGUGGGGGAUAGCUCGUCGAAAGGCGAAUUAAUACCGCAUGUGGCUACUGGAGGAAUCUCUGGGACGCCAAAGCCGGGGUUAAACCUGGCGCUUCUGGAUGGGCCCGCGGCCUAUCAGCUAGUUGGUGAGGUAACGGCUCACCAAGGCGAUGACGGGUAGCUGGUCUGAGAGGACGACCAGCCACACUGGAACUGAGACACGGUCCAGACACCUACGGGUGGCAGCAGUCGAGAAUUUUUCUCAAUGGGGGAAACCCUGAAGGAGCGACGCCGCGUGGAGGAUGAAGGUCUUCGGAUUGUAAACUCCUGUCAUUGGUGAACAAAGCUGCCGGAGUAACUGCCGUGCAGACUGAUAGUAGCCGAAGAGGAAGAGACGGCUAACUCUGUGCCAGCAGCCGCGGUAAUACAGAGGUCUCAAGCGUUGUUCGGAUUCAUUGGGCGUAAAGGGUGCGUAGGCGGCGAGGCAAGUCUGGUGUGAAAUCCCGGGGCUCAACCCCGGAACUGCACUGGAUACUGCAUUGCUAGAGUACUGGAGAGGGAACUGGAAUUUACGGUGUAGCAGUGAAAUGCGUAGAUAUCGUAAGGAAGACCAGCGGCGAAGGCGAGUUCCUGGACAGUGACUGACGCUGAGGCACGAAGGCCAGGGGAGCAAACGGGAUUAGAUACCCUCGUAGUCC